UGUCAAGACUCCCUGGUUACACCAUACCUUCUGAUGCUUUGAUUAUUGGUUAAGUGUCCAUUGGCGCUCGGUACUGAUCAGAGCCGAAUGGGAGAAAGUGGGCAUGGAUUGCCCCCUUUAAAAGUUUCAGAAAAGGCUCUGACGGUGCGAAGUGAGAUCUGCCCACUAGUUGCUGGAAGACAGAACUGUGAGACUGAGCCGGGGCUUUGAAAUGUUGAUAAAGUUUUUUGGUACUUGUGUCUGAAAUAAUAGAAUAAAGGCAGUAGAUGGUUUUACCCCUGCCUACAGCUCCAGCCUCGGUGCUCCUUGCCUCUCUGCCCUCAGCCAUUUUUGCUGUCUUUCAGUGUCCAGGAAGCUUCCUCCUGCAUUAGUAGGUCUAUACAUGCUGUUAUCUUUGCUGGACUCUCCUCCCAUCUCUUCAUCUAGGCCCGCUUAAGAUUGACUCUGAGAAGGCUCUCUCAGUUAACCUCGCCUGCCUCCAAGCCAGCCAGUCCACGGUGCUACUCUGAAAUUGGGGUGGCAGAAUCUUCUAGAACCAACCCCCUUCCCCAGUGUGGUGUCUAAUGUGCCUGGAUCUGAUUCUCAUCAUGGCCUGUUUGCAGAAGAAACCUCCUCUAAGACUUCAGCCACCUUACCUGGUCUUGGUGGAUGGGACCCUCAGAUAGUGGAAUGCAUCAUGGCCAAGUGGAGGUGUCCAGAGUCCCCUUGUGCCACCUGGAUUGGAAUAAGACAUUGCUCAGAAACCCUUCCAAAGAAUUGGGGAGUGUCCCUGAGCACCUCUCACUCCCAAAGGACAGUGCAUGUGCUCCCUGGUUCCCCAAGCCUAGCAGGGCAGCUCACCCCUCAUCCAGAGAACUGUGGAAUCCUAUCUGCUUCAAGGACUCUUUCCAAAAUGAUCUCCCAAGCAGCUCAUGCCUGAACUUGGAGUAGUGACAACUACAUCUCUCACACCCCACUCAUUUUGUUCUCUUCUUGUCCCUUCCUCCCAAGUAUAACGUCCUGAACUAGCAUUUCCUAGUAUGUAAAUAGCUUAUAAUCAGGGCUUGGUUUACCUAGUAUGUUCUUAGAGUAAUAAAGGUAAGUGUCAUGUGUAUAAGAGUCACACCCAAGCCCCCCUGAUUUUCUCUCCCCCCACACCGCCCCAGGGUCAUCCCAGACACUCCCAUGACUUCAGCUACCACUUAUCUGCAGAUGACCCAGUCUCUGUGUCCAGCCUACACU